AAGACCUUGUGCUUUUGGAGCGGCCGACGCCUGAUUAGCUAGUUGGUAGGGUAAAGGCCUACCAAGGCUACGAUCAGUAGUUGGUCUGAGAGGACGACCAGCCACACUGGGACUGAGACACGGCCCAGACUCCUACGGGAGGCAGCAGUGGGGAAUUUUGGACAAUGGGCGAAAGCCUGAUCCAGCAAUGCCGCGUGAGUGAAGAAGGCCUUCGGGUUGUAAGCUCUUUCAGUCGAGAAGAAAAAGUUGUGACUAAUAAUCACAAUUUAUGACGGUACCGACAGAAGAAGCACCGGCUAACUACGUGCCAGCAGCCGCGGUAAUACGUAGGGUGCAAGCGUUAAUCGGAAUUACUGGGCGUAAAGGGUGCGCAGGCGGCUCUGUAAGUCAGAUGUGAAAUCCCCGGGCUUAACCUGGGAAUU
rnacentral:rRNA from 1 species